AACGAACGCUGGCGGCAGGCUUAACACAUGCAAGUCGAACGCAUCGCAAGAUGAGUGGCAGACGGGUGAGUAACGCGUGGGAACAUACCCUUUUCUACGGAAUAGCUCUGGGAAACUGGAAUUAAUACCGUAUACGCCCUACGGGGGAAAGAUUUAUCGGGGAAGGAUUGGCCCGCGUUGGAUUAGCUAGUUGGUGGGGUAAAGGCCUACCAAGGCGACGAUCCAUAGCUGGUCUGAGAGGAUGAUCAGCCACAUUGGGACUGAGACACGGCCCAAACUCCUACGGGAGGCAGCAGUGGGGAAUAUUGGACAAUGGGCGCAAGCCUGAUCCAGCCAUGCCGCGUGAGUGAUGAAGGCCUUAGGGUUGUAAAGCUCUUUCACCGAUGAAGAUAAUGACGGCAGUCGGAGAAGAAGCCCCGGCUAACUUCGUGCCAACCGCCGCGGUAAUAC
rnacentral:rRNA from 1 species